AACGAACGCUGGCGGCAUGCCUAACACAUGCAAGUCGAACGAGACCUUCGGGUCUAGUGGCGCACGGGUGCGUAACGCGUGGGAAUCUGCCCUUCGGUUCGGAAUAACUCAGGGAAACUUGAGCUAAUACCGGAUAAUGACGUAAGUCCAAAGAUUUAUCGCCGAAGGAUGAGCCCGCGUAGGAUUAGCUUGUUGGUGGGGUAAUGGCCCACCAAGGCGACGAUCCUUAGCUGGUCUGAGAGGAUGAUCAGCCACACUGGGACUGAGACACGGCCCAGACUCCUACGGGAGGCAGCAGUGGGGAAUAUUGGACAAUGGGCGAAAGCCUGAUCCAGCAAUGCCGCGUGAGUGAUGAAGGCCUUAGGGUUGUAAAGCUCUUUUACCCGGGAUGAUAAUGACAGUACCGGGAGAAUAAGACUCCGGCUAACUCCGUG
rnacentral:rRNA from 1 species